rnacentral:rRNA from 1 species
GUUAUCGUUUAUUUGAUAGUACCUUACUACUUGGAUAACCGUGGUAAUUCUAGAGCUAAUACAUGCUAAAAACCCCAACUUCGGGAGGGGUGUAUUUAUUAGAUAAAAAACCAAUGCCCUUCGGGGCUCCUUGGUGAUUCAUGAUGACUUCUCAGAUCGCAUGGCUUUACGCCGGCGACGGUUCAUUCAAAUUUCUGCCCUAUCAACUUUCGAUGGUAAGGUAUUGGCUUACCAUGGUUUCAACGGGUAACGGGGAAUUAGGGUUCGAUUCCGGAGAGGGAGCCUGAGAAACGGCUACCACAUCCAAGGAAGGCAGCAGGCGCGCAAAUUACCCAAUUCCGAUACGGAGAGGUAGUGACAAUAAAUACUGAUACAGGGCUCUUUUGGGUCUUGUAAUUGGAAUGAGUACAAUUUAAACCUCUUAACGAGGAACAAUUGGAGGGCAAGUCUGGUGCCAGCAGCCGCGGUAAUUCCAGCUCCAAUAGCGUAUAUUAAAGUUGUUGCAGUUAAAAAGCUCGUAGUUGAACCUUUG